CAGAAGUAUAACUCAUCAUGUUUAGGACUUCGUCCUGUUAAUAGCCAGUAAAAAGUUUAAUACAAAUACGGGCGUGACUCACCCCAAAUGUUCUAGUAAUGUGAAUAAACAGUGGGUGGUGGUUGAGUCUGAUGUCUCCUGUCGUUUUAGAGUUUAAAAGACACGUAAAUGUCAGUGGGAACAAUAUGUUCCUUAUUUGUGUUAGUAAUGCUAAUUAACAGCAACAGCAAAACACUCAAUUACACCCUUUUCCAGAAUAUAUCCAGGAUAUAAUUGACUAAACUGAAUGAAUAAUUUGUCCAAGUUUAAUAUUAUAUCAGUGGCUUUUCAAUCGAGAAGAGUAUUUUAUUAAUCUCCACAGUCACAAGUGCAACAACACAAGAACAAGAAGGAGGAUUAGGACUUGACACAAAACACUGGAAAAUACCACAAAUAAAAAAAAAAUCAUAGACAUAAUAUUCAACGCUCCAAGUUAUUUACAGGCUGACGAUAAGAUUUCUGUGAAGAUGAACUUUCCAAAAUCAUAAAGUGCUAUUUAAACUGAUUUGGAUUGAAGUGUAUUUUUAUGUAUGUACUUACUGGCUGCCUACAGGCUGAUCACCACCAGAGGGCCACUUCUGACCACAUAACAUAUGACUCUUAGCUCAUUUUGAGCCCAGCCGUGACACUGCUGUCAUUACUGGGUUGAGAAGCCAAACCAAGCCAACUAUUUAGUAGGGGAUUAAUACAUUGUACAUAUAAAUAUUAGUGUCUAUCUGUACACUUAUAAAGUGGAUUCACAUUAUAAUGCUGCACAAACAACACAUGAACGAGAGCGUUGGAGUGGCGGGCGGCCUGCUUGAUAUGCACGCUCACAGCCGCGCGCUAGGACGCCGCUCUCUGCUAAGCGCGUGAUUAAUUAACAUCCAGCUCGUAACCCCCGAAUUAGCGCCAGAGCACACGGGCUAAUGAGCUCACUGUGAUCCUGCAGGUUACAGUGACUCCUCCGCUGCCAUCAGAUCCAACUCUGAACGACAGAGAUGGACGUGACACUGGGAGAACUACUAGGCCAACUGUAUGAGAAAUGGACUGAUACUUACAGCACUGUCUAUUAGAGGUGCCUAAAGUCUGUUUACUGAAGUAUUCUGAGCAUUCUCUCUGAUAAAGCGCCACUCACACUGUCUUUAAAAAGUGAAACAGGAGGUUAACCACUGGCCCAAAGUUUUUUUUUUUUACUUGUUUGCUUGUUUGUUUUUAAUACUUGUCUAAGAUAAUGUCUCCCACAGUUGAACCUCAGAAUGGCACUGGAAAUAAUGCACAGCAUACAACACCAUGUUUUAGACUAAAAUGCCCAAUGUUGCUAUAUCUAGAAACUUUGCUCUUGGAUGAGAUUAUUUCAUAAAUAUAUUAAUAUUUUAAUAUAUUAUUUAUUAAAAAAAAAUGCACUUGGCUUACCAGCACCCAUAAUACCCCUGUCCUGUCCUGUCCUGUCCUGUCCUCUGUUACACAUUGUGUAUACCUGUUUGCAGUCUAAUGCUGUAUCCCUUUUUGCCUACUUGUACUAUACAGUAAAAGUGAGUGAAUACUUUU